rnacentral:piRNA from 1 species
UUGCUGGAUUAUAAAGGGCUGUCUGCGC